CUGUCUCUCUUUCUCUGUCUCUCUCUCUCUCUCUCUCUCUCUCUCUGUCUCUCUCUGUCUCUCUCUCUCUGUCUCUCUCUCUCUGUCUCUCUUUCUCUGUCUCUCUCUCUCUCUCUCUCUCUCUCUCUCUCUGUCUCUCUCUUUUGAGGGGGAACGCCGGGAGAGGAAAUGUGAAAAAGAGAGAGGACUUUGAAACGGCUCCUGAUCUUACAUCAGCACUUGGCUGGUGAAUCACGCUGCACAUGUUGCACGCUUUUUUGGUGCAGCUGUCACUGCACUCGGUGGCGGAUGCGCCGCUCACGGGCGCUGGUGCCAAACGCCGUCAGGCUCACCUGUGGCCCUCAGUUAAAGGGAAAACUAAAACUUGGGAAGAAUGCUGAUUAACUGUCCUUUUUAGGCAAGGCAGCUUUAUUGGGCGUCCUCCUGCACUCAUGCAGAUUUAGCGCCACCAUUGUGUGCAGCAGGGUGGGGGUUGACUAGGCUAUUGUACGUCAGAGGCUGAUUCAAACAAUACCUAAAAAGUGAGCUCAUGGGUGGUUUGUCUGCUUGCUUAAGCACGUCUCUUUGAUUUUGAUCUCGUCGGUUUUUCAUUCAGCAAAACGGAAAACCAUCAAUCAGAAAUCGUACUGUUUAAAUAAUCAAACAGGAAGUGCAGCCUCUCAAAAGCCGUAGUUUUUUUUUAGCUUCCUGUAAAGUCCAUUUUGUUAGAGUGGUGUCCAGUACUUUUGAAAGACUCGUUCAAACACCCAGCUCCGAGCACAAGACUCUGCUCACGCCUCUGACACUCGGUGUCUGUAUCCUCCCACGGUUUGUUUCCGCAGAGCUGGAGAGUUCAGACGUGGUAUUCUCAGAGUCAGAGGCCAAGUAAAGCACUCCAAGUUCUACUGCCGGCCCACUUCUAGUCAUGUUUGCACAAAAGUGCAUUGUCCUCGGUGUUAGCUUUGUUUCGUGACACGGGCCUUUCAAAAAGAUGCAAGUAUCAGCAACUUUACAGUCAGUGCUGUGAGAAUCAAACUGACUCCAUACAGAUUUGUUCUAUUUCUGUAUUUUUUUUUUUUUGUUCACUUUAAAAUGUUUUUAAUAGGCAAACAAAUUUCACCCUUCAUGUUCCUCCUGCGGGUGGGUCCACAGUUGGAUGAGCCCACGUAUCCGGUUUGGGCUGGGCCCAGCCGGGCCCCAUGGGCAAAAGCCCGGUCACCAGGCGCUCGCUCACGGGCCCCAACCCCAGGCCUGGCUCCAGGGUGGGACCCCGGUAUCCCUCCAGGCCGGGUACUCCGACUCUUUGAUUGUAUAUCCAUGAAAGAUCCUCGACCGAAAGAACGAGAUCGCGGAUACAAGCGGCGGAAAUGAGUUUCCUCCGUAGGGUGGCCGGGCUCAGCCUUAGAGAUAGGGUGAGGAGCUCGGACAUUCGGGAGGGACUCAGAGUAGAACCGCUGCUCCUCCGUAUCAAAAGGAGUCAGUUGAGGUGGUUUGGGCAUCUGGUCAGGGUGCCUCCUGGACGCCUCCCUGGGGAGGUGUUUCGGGCAUGUCCUGCCGGCAGGAGGCCCCCGGGAAGAACCAGGACACGCUGGAGGGACUGUGUUUCUUGGCUGACCAGGGAACGUCUUGGGAUUGACCCUGGAGGAGCUGGCCCAAGUGGCUGAGGAGAUGGAAGUCUGGGCGUCUCUGCUUAGGCUACUGUCCCCGCAACUUGACCCCGGAUAAGCAGAAGAGAAUGAAUGGAUGGAGUUUGUGAUACUGGUCCAUCCUAUCACCCUGGAGGAAUUUUCUCCCAAUCUUAUUCACAGAACUGUUUUAAUUCUGAAUGUAAUUUUUGCCCCUUUGUCUCCUUCUUAUUGUUGAAACAUGACCUUUGACCUUUAAUACAACUAAGUGAUGCCUGCAGUGCUUUAGAUGUAGUUCUGGCCUCUUUAGUUAUUUUACUUCUUUAGAGGGGGUCAUGAUAUUGAUAAUGGAUGAUUUAGCAAAGGGGCAAUUACUCUUUCACAUACAGCCAAGUGGAGUCAGAUAUUUUUGCCCUAAUGAAUAAAAUUAUCAUUUGUAUUUACUCAAAUAUUUUGUCUAAUAGCUAAAUUUGUUUGCCAGUCCAAAAAUUUAUGAGUAUAAAUAAACAAGAAAGCCGCAAAACAUCUUAAUCUAUCUCAAUCUAUAUCAUUUUAUUUAUUACUUAUUUUCUAAUUUUUGUCAUUUAUAUUAGCUCUUUUAUUACAUUUUUACUCAUUUUAAUCCAGUGUUUCCUCUGUGGGGGCCCUCUGCCCCGGGAGCGGUGGUCGACUGUAGCUUCCUGGGCGCUCUAUAGGUGGGGGUCUAUGCUCCCCCUCCACUGAGCGCCCUGACUUAGUGUGGAAGACCUGAUGCUGCCGGGGCAGACGGCUCCUCUGAUGGCGUUUCCUUGCGUUACCAUACUUGGCUCAUCUGGACUCAGCCUAAUAUAAUUUUUACUUGUGUGAGUCUGUGUGUGCGUGUGCUUGUGCGUGUGCUUGCAUAUGUUUGUAAAUGUUUUUAACCUGUUAUGGGAAUCUGGGGUCAUUUUGUAAAGCACUUUGAAUCACACUUUGUUUGAAAAGCGCUUUAGAAAUAAAAUUUGAUUGAUUGAUUGA